UAUAUACAUAAGUUGUUAAAAGUUCAAAUUCAAAUGAAAUUCGAACAAAAGAUUCUGUUAGAACGAUGAAUGUGAAAGCUUGAAGAUGGCCUAUCCAAAUAGGCUGAAAACGUUUGGAAUAAAGAAAAAAACUCGGCAAAUAUAAUCAGGCUUAAAGUGACAAAUCUUCCGUUGUUUGUUGAUAAUGGAAUUUGGGACUCUGUUGGGAUUAAGAAAAGGGCAACCUAGACAAAAGGGGGCACUUCGAGCACGUGCCCCCUUUUGAGCACUACUGAUUGAUAACAUCAGAUUUGAAUAAUCUCUUUGGUUUACAUACUAGUUGUUUUAGGCGAAUGGCGGCAGACAUUCCGGCCGGUCCUCCACCGACGACGACCACAUCGCUUUCGUCCGAGACUCUACUCAUGUCGACAUCUGAAAGUAUUCAAUUUGGAAUGUAUGUAAUGUAUUCGAAACAAAUGGUUUUGAUAAUCAUAAAGAUAUUAACAUGUAGCCCUAAUAUUCCCAUUCUGACAUUAACUUAGUAAUUAAUAAGUAAAAAUAAAUAUAAAAUUGAAUAUAACAA